CCCCGGGAAGCAGAUGUGAAGGAGCAGAGGCUCUGACGUCACAGCACACGCCGGGAUGUUUGGAGGUUUCUAUGGUAAUUAAAAAAUAGAUCUGUGACCCGUGGAAGAAAUUCCUUGCUGCAUUCCUUGCUUUGCAGGGUGUGUGCCCCUACAGAUCCUUCCUAGCUGGAGGAAAAUCUCCUUUCCUGACUGCAGUGGGGGGACUCACCAACACCCCCAUGGCCAACUCUCUUCCCUGCAGAUGGAGCAUCCAGUGUGCAGACACUGUGCCCUGGGAGCAAAGACACCCCAUGCACAAACACAAGGCACACCGAGUGGGAAAGCAGGAUAACUCUAUUUUAUAUGAGAGAAAACAAGAGGCCUGUGGUAACAUUAGCCAAGCAGGUGGUCUAAGCAAAUUAGAGAAUCUUGACGAUUCCCGAGUUCAAAGGAAGCCGUUGCUCAUCCCCGUCAAAGCUAUCUGAUAACAUAUUUAGCUGGAGAAAGGAUGAGUAUAUCCACCAGCACACAAUGGCCCAGAUUUCCUAGCUCAUUAAACCCAAAUAUUAGUGAAAA